AGCGAAUCGUUGAUGAGGAAAGUACUCCUGGAAUGAGGCUGUAGCGAGUCGGGGAUGGUGGAAGCCCGAUGCCGAACCACGCGAGGAAGCGCCCCUCGGAGAUGCGGCCUGAACAUCCGGCGAAGCAAAUCGCGCCCGGAUCGCGUAGGGUUUUGCCGGGCCUGCCCGUUACAGCAGCACAAAGCGGUUUUUGCCUGAUGCACGCAUGCAGGCGAAAACAACAAGAGUGGCACCGCGGGAGCACAACCUCUCGUCUCUUUU
rnacentral:ncRNA from 1 species